GAUGAAGAACGUAGCGAAAUGCGAUACGUAAUGUGAAUUGCAGAAUUCAGUGAAUCAUCGAGUCUUUGAACGCACAUUGCGCCCCCUGGUAUUCCGGGGGGCAUGCCUGUCCGAGCGUCAUUGCUGCCCUCAAGCACGGCUUGUGUGUUGGGCCUCCGUCCUCCUCCCGGGGGACGGGCCCGAAAGGCAGCGGCGGCACCGCGUCCGGUCCUCGAGCGUAUGGGGCUUCGUCACCUGCUCUUGUAGGCCCGGCCGGCGCUUGCCGACACAUCAAUCUUUUCUCCAGGUUGACCUCGGAUCAGGUAGGGAUACCCGCUGAACUUAAGCAUAUCAAUAAGCGGAGGA
rnacentral:misc_RNA from 1 species